rnacentral:rRNA from 1 species
UACGGAGGGUGCGAGCGUUGUCCGGAAUCACUGGGCGUAAAGGGCGCGUAGGUGGCCCGUUAAGUGGCUGGUGAAAUCCCGGGGCUCAACUCCGGGGCUGCCGGUCAGACUGGCGAGCUAGAGCACGGUAGGGGCAGAUGGAAUUCCCGGUGUAGCGGUGGAAUGCGUAGAUAUCGGAAGGAACACCAGUGGCGAAAGCGGCUUCCU